GGUAUAGAUAAGAUUGUAUAUGAUAUAACUGUACACGAUAGGAACUCUUAUCAUCCUCAGUUAUAUAGACAACAUAUAUAGAAUUUGGAGAUAUUAACAUUAGCAUAUUUUCCUUUCUAAGGAUGGUGUUUUUCAAUGUUUUUAAUUUCUGUUUAUUGUUAGUUAUGGUUUAUGGUGAAUGCGAUCCUGGCUGGGAACAUCGAUGGAAUAAAUGUUAUUACUUCAGCACAGAAAGCCGUAAUUGGGAAGGGGCAGAGAGUGGGUGUAGAUAGUAUGGGUCACAUCUGGUUGAAGUUGAGAGUGCAGAUGAGGAUGAAUACAUACGUACUCAUUCACGAAACACCAGACGUUCAAAUUGGAUUGGCUUACGAGAUUCAGUAACUGAAGGUGAUUGGAGAUGGUCAUACGGAGGAGCACGACCAGAGUAUACCAACUGGGCCACCAAUGAACCAGAUAAUAUAUUUGAUCAAGAUUGUGCAUUUCUCGAUUCGUUGUACAGCUAUCAUUGGGUAUCAGGAUCCUGCUGGAUCGCACACAACUUUAUAUGCGAAAAAGAUUAUCCGAGUACAGAAGUACCUGCAGUAGGGUAAUGGUUAACAGAGUGUAUACAAUUGUGAAAUACAUAAGACGGAAUGAUUAAGUCUGACACCCAAGAAAAUCCCUUUGUAUAACACUAUGUAUUACCAGUGCGUGCCGAUAUUUACACUACAUUUAUGCUCUGCGUUUAAAUUCUUUUUUUGGAAUAA